CGCGUGGGGGAGGAUGCCUUAGGGUUGUAAACCCCUUUUAUCUGGGAAGAACAAAAUGACGGUACCAGAUGAAUAAGCCUCGGCUAACUCCGUGCCAGCAGCCGCGGUAAUACGGAGGAGGCAAGCGUUAUCCGGAUUUAUUGGGCGUAAAGCGUCCGCAGGUGGCAGUUCAAGUCUGCUGUCAAAGACAGUGGCUCAACCACUGAAAGGCAGUAGAUACUGAACAGCUAGAGUGCGGUAGGGGCAGAGGGAAUUCCAGGCGUAGCGGUGAAAUGCGUAGAUUUCUGGAAGAACAUCGGUGGCGAAAGCGCUCUGCUAGGCCGCAACUGACACUCAGGGACGAAAGC
rnacentral:rRNA from 1 species